UACGAGGGGGGCGAGCGUUGUUCGGAAUUAUUGGGCGUAAAGGGUGCGUAGGCGGUUCCGCAAGUCCUGUGUGAAAUCUUCGGGCUCAACUCGAAGUCUGCACGGGAAACUGCGGGGCUUGAGUGUGGGAGAGGUGAGUGGAAUUCCCGGUGUAGAGGUGAAAUUCGUAGAUAUCGGGAGGAACACCGGUGGCGAAGGCGGCGAUCUGGGUCGAUACUGACGCUGAGGUGCGAAAGCGUGGGGAGCAAACAGG
rnacentral:rRNA from 1 species